rnacentral:lncRNA from 1 species
GUAAAAUGAUGGAGCUGCAAUCGGGGCCGCCUGGGCAAUUGUUACGCCACUCAUGACCUUCUCUUGGUUCUUUUCCUCUGUGUUCUGCUUGUUCCGUUUCACUGCCCCUUACAAUUCUUCCCAAGGAAAAGAAGUGAAAUGCAAAUGAGUUUUUUGAGUUUUUGUUGACACCUCUAACUGCAGGAUGGAAGCGGCACAAAUUGUUCUGAUCAGGGAGCAAUAACAUGCAACGAUCCCCAGGGCUCCCAGGCAGGCGGAGGGGGCACCCAGUCUCAGCAGCCCGCGAUCUGCUUGGCCCCUGCGAGCUGCAUGCCUCACAUUUCCCCAGCUCCAGCCUCCUUUCAAAGGCCCUUUAUUAAACCACCAACUAUUUGCUGUCGAGACAUUUAGGAUGAAAUCAUUGUGUUAAACAAAUAAACGCAGCUUCGUCCAGAUUUCUGCUCUGGGAGCAGAGUAAGAAAAUAAUUUCUGUCUGCUCGCCACAAAAGCGGCUGGAAAGGUCCAAAGAAAAAUAUUAUUUUUACUCCAUUGUGUGAAAUAUUGUCCUGGAGGAUCUGACGGGCUGAGCGUUUGAAGAGUUUGUGCUGGCAGGUUUCAAGGGUCCCCUGGGUCGGCCCCCUGGGAUUGUUUUCUGCAUUAAUAAACUGAGCAUGAUGUGUGUUAAAA